AUGAAGGAGAGUGGAAUGAGAAGAAGAAAGCAUGACAGAAGAGAAGGAUGAGAGGGACAAAAAGGAAGGGCAUGAGAGAAGAGAUGGAUGAGACGAGAAAAGGAUGAGAGGGAGGAUCAUACAAGUGAGAACAUCGCUACAGGGAUGAGAGAAGCUUUAGCUGAUUGGGGACUAGAUGAGAGUCGUCGAGUCUGUAUAACAACAGACAAUGCCGUGAACAUGGUGAAAGCUGCCGCCCUGAACAAGUGGAUUGCAGUGCUUUGGCCACAGACCGCAUCUUGCAGUUGAUUGAUUGAACACAGUGCAGUUGAGAACCUCCCGGAAACGUGUCAUCGUCCUCAGGACCAUGUUAUGGAGGUUCUAGUUCCAGGACAUCAACAACUGAGCCACAGAUACACACUGACAGACAUCAAAGAAAUGACAAACAGCCAGAGUCUGCAGAUGAAGAGAUAUAGCAGAGGGAAAAAUGGACAAGAGAAGGAGAGUGUGGAAGAGAGUCAAGGAGAGAGACUGACAACUUAAUCCACACCAGAAUGAAAUUAUUAUGUUUGCUGGUCCUGCUUUCUCUCUCCUCUCCCUCUCUCCCUCUCUCCCUCUCUCCCUCUCUCCCUCUCUUCUCUUCCUCUUUCCUCUCCCGCUCUCCUUUCUCUUGUUAACUCGUGGAACAGGCUCACACAUUCUCAAUGUAUGCCUUUACCAACAGCAUUACUGAAAUCAUGGAUCAAACUAUUACGUUUGGGUUAAUUUCCUUGAUUAACAAACCUACACAUGGG
ensembl:lncRNA